GAUGAACGCUGGCGGCGUGCCUAAUACAUGCAAGUCGAGCGAACAGAUAAGGAGCUUGCUCCUUUGACGUUAGCGGCGGACGGGUGAGUAACACGUGGGUAACCUACCUAUAAGACUGGGAUAACUUCGGGAAACCGGAGCUAAUACCGGAUAACAUUUGGAACCGCAUGGUUCUAAAGUGAAAGAUGGUUUUGCUAUCACUUAUAGAUGGACCCGCGCCGUAUUAGCUAGUUGGUAAGGUAACGGCUUACCAAGGCAACGAUACGUAGCCGACCUGAGAGGGUGGUCGGCCACAGUGGAACGGAGACAGGGUCCAGACUCCUACGGGAGGCAGCAGUAGGGAAUCUGCCGCAAUGGGGGAAAGCCUGACGGAGCAACGCCGAGUGAGUGAUGAAGGGUUUCGGCUCGGAAAACUCGGUUAUUAGGGAAGAACAAAUGUGUAAGUAAAUGUGCACGUCUUGACGGUACCUAAUCAGAAAGCCACGGCUAACUACGUG
rnacentral:rRNA from 1 species